rnacentral:misc_RNA from 1 species
AAUUCUCAACCUCACCAGUUUUGCAACAAGACAGGUGAAGGCUUGGAUGUGGGGGCUUUGCAGGCUGCCUCAGUGCUGGUCUGCUCCCCUGAAAUGCAUUAGCGAGCUCAUAUUGAGCUUCCAUCUACUGGUGUGAUAAUUAUCUAUGCCAUGGAUUGGGCUCAUGCUUGCUUCUAACCGUCCGCAAGGACAAUUUACUUGACCA